GACGAUCCAUAGCUGGUUUCAGAGGAUGAUCAGCCACACUGGGACUGAGACACGGCCCAGACUCCUACGGGAGGCAGCAGUGGGGAAUCUUAGACAAUGGGCGCAAGCCUGAUCUAGCCAUGCCGCGUGAGUGACGAAGGCCCUAGGGUCGUAAAGCUCUUUCGCCUGUGAAGAUAAUGACGGUAGCAGGUAAAGAAACCCCGGCUAACUCCGUGCCAGCAGCCGCGGUAAUACGGAGGGGGUUAGCGUUGUUCGGAAUUACUGGGCGUAAAGCGCGCGUAGGCGGACCAUCAAGUUGGGGGUGAAAUCCCGGGGCUCAACCCCGGAACUGCCUCCAAAACUGGCGGUCUGGAGUUCGAGAGAGGUGAGUGGAAUUCCGAGUGUAGAGGUGAAAUUCGUAGAUAUUCGGAGGAACACCAGUGGCGAAGGCGGCUCACUGGCUCGAGACUGACGCUGA
rnacentral:rRNA from 1 species